AGUUGAGCGAAGCUUUUUGGUAGUUUACUACUAGAAAUGACUGAGCGGCGAACGGGUGAGUAACGCGUGAGCAAUCUACCUUAGUUACUGGGAUAGCCCGAGGAAACUCGGAUUAAUACCAGAUAUUCUUAUUUUUUCACAUGAAGUUUUAGGGAAAGGUCAGCCGAACUAAGAUGAGCUCGCGUUCUAUCAGCUAGUUGGUGGGGUAAAAGCCUACCAAGGCUACGACGGAUAGCUGGUCUGAGAGGACGAUCAGCCACACUGGGACUGAGACACGGCCCAGACUCCUACGGGAGGCUGCAGCAGGGAAUAUUGUGCAAUGAGCGAAAGCUUGACACAGCGACACCGCGUGUGGGAUGACGGUUCUAGGAUUGUAAACCACUUUCAGGAGGGAAGAAAAUGACGGUACCUCCACAAGAAGACCCGGCCAACUAUGUGCCAGCAGCCGCGGUAAUACAUAGGGGUCAAGCGUUGUCCGGAUUUAUUGGGCGUAAAGAGCUCGUAGGCGGUUCAACAAGUCGGUCGUAAAAGUUUAGGGCUCAACCCUGAAAUGUCGAUCGAUACUGUUGUGACUAGGAUACGGUAGAGGUGAAUGGAAUUCCGAGUGUAGCGGUGAAAUGCGUAGAUAUUCGGAGGAACACCAAUUGCGAAGGCAGUUCACUGGACCGUGAUCGACGCUGAGGAGCGAAAGCUAGGGGAGCAAACAGGAUUAGAUACCCUGGUAGUCCUAGCUGUAAACGAUGGAUACUAGAUGUAGGAACUGGAUUGACGGUUUCUGUAUCGUAGCUAACGCGUUAAGUAUCCCGCCUGGGGAGUACGGUCGCAAGA
rnacentral:rRNA from 1 species